AGCCACUGACUAACGCACAUUGUGCUCUCGGCGACUCCACUGUGCGUGUGACAGCGGCUAA
rnacentral:pre_miRNA from 3 species